GGCCCGUGGCUCAAUGGUAGAGCGUUCGACUCAAAUACCAAAGGUCGCGGGUUCGAAUCCCAGGUGUGCCA
rnacentral:tRNA from 1 species